rnacentral:rRNA from 1 species
GGCGGACGGGUGAGUAACACGUGAGAAUUUGCCUUCAGAGGGGGACAACAACUGGAAACGGUUGCUAAUACCCCAUAUGCUUUCGAGUGAAAUGGAUUUAUUCGCCUGAAGAGAAGCUCGCGGCUGAUUAGCUUGUUGGUGGGGUAAGAGCCUACCAAGGCGACGAUCAGUAUCUGGUUUGAGAGGACGAUCAGACACACUGGAACUGAGACACGGUCCAG